rnacentral:rRNA from 1 species
UCAGACGAUGCGUCAUGCAUAUCAAUAAGCGGAGGAAAAGAAACUAACAAGGAUUCCCCUAGUAACGGCGAGUGAAGCGGGAAGAGCUCAAAUUUGAAAUCUUAAAGGGUUUCCCUUUACGAAUUGUAGUUUAAAGAAGUGUUUUCUGUUGAGGUUUUGGUAAAAGUUCUUUGGAAUAGGACAUCAUAGAGGGUGAGAAUCCCGUAUUUGACCUUUACUUUCAACUUUGUGAUACACUUUCAAAGAGUCGGAUUGUUUGGGAAUGCAGUCCAAAAUGGGUGGUAAAUUUCAUCUAAAGCUAAAUAUUGGCGAGAGACCGAUAGCGAACAAGUACCGUGAGGGAAAGAUGAAAAGAACUUUGAAAAGAGAGUUAAACAGUACGUGAAAUUGUCAAAAGGGAAGCGUUUGACACCAGUGUUGUUUUUCUGAAAAUCAAUUAAAGAACUGUUUAUGCUAAGUUGUUUAGACUUCAUCAGCUAUCUGUUUAGUUUUGAGCUUUUCUUUAAUGCACUUUUCAGUUAACAAGUCAACAUCAAUUUCUUUUGCUGUAAAAAAGCUUGAGGAAGGUGGCUUGAGAUUCGUCUUAAGUGUUUAUAGCCUCUUGCCUAUGCAGUCGGAGAGAUUGAGGUCUGCAGCGUAGAUCCUUCGGGGCUAAAUGCAUUUGUGCUAAGUUAUAGCAUUUUAUAGACAACAUGUUGACUAUGAUUUGUCUUGUAGCUUACUCGCUUAUGUUAUUUUACCUACGCUUAGGAUGUUGAGCGCAUGUCUCUCUCU